GAUUGGUCUCAGUCGUCGACAGCUAGCUUAUAAGACCCUUCAUUUUUGUUUUAUUUCAAGGGAAGGAAGGAUCACGUGAAUGCAUCGUGGACAGCUUCUCCUUUCGCAGGAGCAGCAUGUGAAAUGCGAUACCUCUUGCCGACGCGCUCUUUUUUCUUCUUCUUUUGGUAUGAUAACACAACCGCGAAACACCCGUCUGGCUUUUUCCAAACGCUCUUUGGGAACACCAACCACACACACACAAAAAAGAAACCGUUAUCGCCCUCGCAAGAUGAAUUUUCGACUGGUGGUAUACGCUGUCUGCCACGUACGAGCUUCCAGCAGUGAGUGUGCCACGUAAGAGCCAAGUGAUAUUUACUCCGUAUCUCGUCGGAUGACCAUUGCUGAGCCAAAGGCGUACGGCAGUGACUGCAGCUGGACAUCGGUGGACGUAGAUGUUAUGGUCAAUCUGAGUCACGGUAGUGCAUUUUCCCUGUUUCAGUGUUGGUUUUGUAAAUUCUGUUGUAGCUACGAAAACGAACAGGGAAACAGCACUCAGAAAGGACAAGGUGUAGCAGAACAUCUCCGGACAUCUAUUUACCAUGACGACCUACAGUAAAAUGAGACAACUCGUCAUGGAUUUCAAUAUUUAUUGGUAUGAGGACGGCGACAUUUUCCUUGGAGUUGAUGAUCCUGGGUAACGUCCCGCAUGCCGCACACAUCAUCACCCGAUUGGGACCAAGAAUCGCCAGCGUUGGUUGGCUGUUCGACAUCGGACCAGUGAUCGCCAGUCAUUUCGUCGUCGGUGGUGGCAGGUAGUUCUCCGGAACCCAAGUCCUUCUACGACUUCCAGAAGGUUGCAACAGUCGGUCCAACGUGUCCGAAGGAUCAUCGUCGUCAUCAUUGCAUCAGUGUACAAGUAAGCAUCAUGUCUUCGUCGAUCUUGCAUAAACUUGACAAGUUAAAGAAAUGUGGAGAGUUUCAAAAAAUGGCGACAAUUCCUAAAAACAUCAAGUAUGAUGUGGUUGAUGUUAACAAAAUUGAAACGAGGUAUGGCGAGGCGGUCUACGUAGAAAUUAUGAAGGAUCACGAGCACGUAAAGGUGUUCCUUCCAGCUCGGUUUCAUAAACUAAGCACUCAAGACAUCGAAGACAUGAGGAACACGAGCGGGCUCUGGAUGGAGAAGAAAGAGCGAGUUGGAAAAGAGGGGAAACGUCUUCUUUCGCCAGACAUCGUGUUCGGUCAAUCCGAGUAAAAAAAUAAAAAGAAAUGGUGACAUGCCACCUUUGUCCUCCGGCCGAUCGGCAGCACUACACAACAGCGCUG